UUUGCUCUCUCCACUCCCUCACACUCUUCUCCUACCUCCACCCACGAAAUUGCUGCUGCCCCUUGCUCCCAUGGCCGGCCAUGGCCAUGGAAAACUCACCAAGAUGAAGCUCCCUCCUCCCUCAAGCUUCCCCUCACCAUGAGAGCCUCCCUCUCCAUCUUCUCCCCAACCCUUGAUGGUUCAAUCUUCUCUUCUUCUUCCUCCAUUGCUAAGAUUGGAUCUUGAUGCAGGUGCAUGUUGGUCCAAGCAUGGAGAAGGUUGAGCUAUCCUCAGAUCUGAAGUUCUUGAGCAAAAUCCAAAUCGAGUGAUUCAAAGCUACGCAGAUAGGUAUUGAAAAUAUCUACAACUUGGCGUUGGUCUCAUCCUCAAAUUCGUUACGGAUUCUGCAUGGUGAAAUCCCUCUUCAAUACCUUCAUUUUGGCGGUGGUUUCACUUCGAUUGACCUCCUGAAACUGAAAUGGUUUACAGAUCAAGAUCUGGUCAGAUCUGACUUUGUCGAAUUAAACCAGGAGCUUGGGAACGAAUUUUUGAAUGAAACCAGUUGGGGGAUAUUUGGUUUAUACCAUGGUGAUAACCGAGAGAGGCAAUUGCUAAGUUAUGAUGCACUCAUACCUUUACUAGAUGCGAACACUUCCGGAGAAGAAGAAGAAGUGGAAUCGGAUGAGAAGAUUAUUUAUAUUGUUGGAAUUCUUAUAUUGAUGGAUUUGAAGAAGUACAUGGACAAAUAAGCCAAGGAAAGCCAUCUUUUGAUCUCUGAUUCGGUGUCUAGUUGGAUGUCAUUUGUUGAUAUCCAAAGCACCUUGAUUCUAUGUGUGUUGUUCUCUUUAUUAUUGUCAUCUAUGUAUGGUUGCUAGUGGGGUACUCCCUAGUGGUGAUACUCCACUAUUGUCUUUAUGAUUAUGGGAUGCAUGGUAUCAUGGCCGUGCUAUUCCUCUUGGUUAUCCUGUAUGCUCGACUUGAGCAUGUUCCAUCUCAAGAUAAUGACUUACACCACACCCACCACUUUUGUAGUAUAGAGUUAUCAAUGCCAUGAUCUUGGUGUAUUCUCAACUUGAGAGGAGUAUGCCGUGUACCCAUUGGAGAGUAUGUUUCAUAGUGUUACUCCACUAUCUAAGUUGUAUUUUCUUAGCACCACAAAUCUGAAAGAAUAAUCCUCCUUAUGUUGUCCCUAUACAUGCUUAUCCUAAGUAUGUAUGAUCCCCUUAACACCUCAAUUAUCAUCCCCUUGUGGUAUGAUGGCUAGCAUCAUGUCAUUGUGACUCUUAGUUCCUUCAUAAAACCAUAGGUUGGGAACCCCCUUGGAAAAAUACCUUGUUGAAAAGAAUUUUUGAAAACCUUGUGUGAGUUGGACUUACCCAAGCGUGUGUUUAUGAAAGGAAAGGAUCUUGGCAAAGAUGGUUGAAAAGAAAAUCUUGUUUUCGAAAACUUUGGCGCCUAAGUAUUCACCCGUGAUAAUUAACCCGCGCAACCACAUUACCCUGGGGUGGGACGGGGCUUAGCUCGUAGUUUGUUCUUCUUAACAUGGGACACCGCACAACUAUAUAAGGGUAAGGUUACCCCUGAAUCCGGAUUGUCGUUGGUGGAGACAAUAGUAUAACGGGAGGCCUUCGGGGCUGACCCGUCCGGAAGACACUAUGGGUCUCCUGGCUUGGCGGUGGAGCCACGCUCAAAGUGAGGUGAGCUUCCACGGUGCCGGGGAGGUACAUACUCCAUAGGGUAGGAUCCCGUGCUAAGACGAAUAGGCGAAAGGCUAUGUCCGAGUUUUUGUCAUGGCAUAGUUGAUAUGCAGGGAUGAUGCCCACAUGAUGAACUCGCGGAUCUUGUGGGGAAAGUGUGCAAACUCUGCAGAGUCAAAUCUAUUCGAAUAGCCGUGUCCGCGGUCAUGGACGGUUGAAAUGGCUGUUGCUUAGCCUGAUGAGUUUUGUUUGAGAAAGUGUUUACCAAAGGAAAAAGGAACUUGUUUUUGGAGUACCGGAAGGGUACUAGGAUGGUUGGGUUGACCAUAUGGAGAUGGUCGGAAA